rnacentral:rRNA from 1 species
AUUGAACGCUGGCGGCAGGCCUAACACAUGCAAGUCGGGCGACCGGCGGACGGGUGAGCAAUGUAUGGGGAUCUGCCUGAUGGAGGGGGAUAACUACUGGACACGGUAGCUCAUACCGCAUACCAUCAGAUGGACCCAUAUGGGAUUAGCUAGUAGGUGAGGUAACGGCUCACCACGGCGACGAUCCCUAGCUGGUCUGAGAGGAUGAUCAGCCACACUGGGACUGAGACACGGACCAGACUCCUACGGGAGGCAGCAGUGGGGAAUAUUGCACAAUGGGCGAAAGCCUGAUGCAGCCAUGCCGCGUGUGUGAAGAAGGCCUUCGGGUUGUAAAGUACUUUCAGUCGGGAGGCGUUACCGACAGAAGAAGCACCGGCUAACUCCGUGCCAGCAGCCGCGGUAAUUC